CCUACGGGAGGCAGCAGUGGGGGAUAUUGCACAAUGGGGGGAACCCUGAUGCAGCGACGCCGCGUGGGUGAAGAAGCGCCUCGGCGCGUAAAGCCCUGUCAGCAGGGAAGAAAAUGACGGUACCUGAAGAAGAAGCCCCGGCUAACUACGUGCCAGCAGCCGCGGUAAUACGUAGGGGGCAAGCGUUAUCCAGAUGUACUGGGUGUAAAGGGGGCGCAGACGGCGAUGCAAGCCAGGCGUGAAAGCCCGGGGCUCAACCCCGGGACUGCUCUUGGAACUGCGUGGCUGGAGUGCAGGAGGGGCAGGCGGAAUUCCUGGUGUAGCGGUGAAAUGCGUAGAUAUCAGGAGGAACACCGGUGGCGAAGGCGGCCUGCUGGACUGCAACUGACGUUGAGGCCCGAAAGCGUGGGGAGCAAACAGGAUUAGAUACCCCUGUAGUC
rnacentral:rRNA from 1 species